CCCCUUUCAUUUUGCAACCAAACAAAUAGCAUAUGAGUCAUAUGACAAAGCCGACCGCUUUAAUUUCCGACAAAAGAACUCUUACAUAAAUAAAACAACUAAGCGGUUCUGUUAUCUUCAGUUUGGGGGGUUGUGUAAAGAUGGAUCUAGGAAGCUUAGGUGGGUUAACUAUGCAUAUAAUCGUAUCCAAAUUGGCCCCUCAAGAUGCUGCAUCAGUAGCUUGUGUUAGUAAAAGGUUUAGGGAUUGGACCUCUUCUGAUGAUUUGCUUUGGUCCAAAUUCUGUGCUGAUGAUCUUGACCUAGCUGCCCCAAUUGACCCCCUUGGCAAUCCCUUGCCCUCUUUCAAGGCAUCUUAUCAAGCAUGGCGGGAAGCUUUUAAUCUGUAUCCAUGGCCCUUGGUUACUCGAGUUAAAAGAUGUUGGGGCAGACUAAAAGAGUGGCUAGCCAUAAAUUUCGCUGAAGUUUUGGCUACACUGCGUAAAGGUGCAUCCGAGGACGAAAUACUGGAGUUGGAGAAGAGUUUGAAAGUAAAGCUGCCUCUACCUACUAGGGUUCUCUACCGGUUUUAUGAUGGUCAAGAACUAACAAGUGAGGAGUCCAGUGGAAACAUGCCUGGGAAUUUAUUAGGCCUCAUAGGAGGCUACUCCUUUUAUGAUCAUCUGGUGAAUGUGUCCUUGUUGCCUUUACAUCAAAUGAUAAUAGAAACUAAAGAAAUUAACAGACAUCUCGGUUUCGGCAAUCAAUCUAAGUACAUUGUUGUAGCAGCCUCUUGUGGUUACAAUGAAAAGAUUUUCUUUCUGAACUGUUCCAAUGGUCAGCUUUAUGUUGGUACAAGGAAUCUCACAACUGACGGAGAAAUGCUGCCUUGUGUACCGAACCCCUUGAUAAGUUCGGUGCAUGAUGUAAAAGGAAGUCAACAACAGGAUGCCAUGCUAUUGUGGCUAGAGGAACAUGUCCGUCGCUUGCAACAGGGCAUUAUUAAAGUCCGUAAAGAAGGAAAAGUGAGAAGUAUCAGUCUUUUUCCAGAAGAGCCUCCACUUUGUUCUGUUGCUGUUACAAAUGGUGUAAAGGUCCGUGCUUCUUCUGUGUUCGUCCCAGAGUUCAGCAACAUUCAAGAUGAAUAUGAGAAGUUUUUGUUUGCUUAUUCUAUUCGCAUGUCUCUUUCACCUGGAUGCAAAAUGAAUGGGAUGACCUUCAAUUCUUGCCAACUCUAUUGGAGACGUUGGAUCAUCCGCUGCAAUGACGAUAUUGUGGAUGACGUAAAUGGUGAAGCGGUGAUAGGAAAGUUUCCACUGCUACGACCGGGAGAGGAAGAAUUUAUCUAUGAGAGUUGCACAGCACAAUCAUCUUCACCAGGCUCGAUUGAAGGAUCUUUUACUUUCGUACCUGGAAGGUAUGUCACAUUACUGUAGUUGGUACACCAUCAAAAUGUUCUGUCGGUGAUUUCAUUACACCUUCACAUGCACUCUAAUAUGGAUGAUUAGCAGAUCCAAAAGGCAGUCCGUUCGAAGCUGUGGUGUCAAGAUUUUCCCUUUUGGUGCCGGACUAUAUUUUCUGAUGGAACUCGUUCAAAUUCCGCUCUUCUAUGUUAUGCGGUUGUUUAUAGAGUGAAUAAGCGCUAUCUUGCUCCUCUUACUGAAUGUGUGAUCUUUUUCCUUUUUCCACUGGCUGUGUGAUAUUCUUAUAGUGCUUCUUUGGUCUACUGUUAUGUGUUUUUCUUCUGUGGCAGAAAAUUAUUUGGACUAUUGCAGAUGUACUGUCUUAUAGAAAAGGAUAUAACAUGUAAUGCCAAAGCUUUGCUUUGUGCUA